rnacentral:rRNA from 3 species
GACCUCAGAUCAGGCAAGGCUACCCGCUGAAUUUAAGCAUAUCAAU